GGGUUGUGAGGUUAAGCGACUAAGCGUACACGGUGGAUGCCCUGGCAGUCAGAGGCGAUGAAGGACGUGCUAAUCUGCGAAAAGCGUCGGUAAGGUGAUAUGAACCGUUAUAACCGGCGAUGUCCGAAUGGGGAAACCCAGUGUGAUUCGUCACACUAUCGUUAACUGAAUACAUAGGUUAACGAGGCGAACCGGGGGAACUGAAACAUCUAAGUACCCCGAGGAAAAGAAAUCAACCGAGAUUCCCCCAGUAGCGGCGAGCGAACGGGGAGCAGCCCAGAGUCUGAAUCAGCUUGUGUGUUAGUGGAACGGUCUGGAAAGUCCGACGGUACAGGGUGAUAGUCCCGUACACCAAAAUGCACAGGUUGUGAACUCGAAGAGUAGGGCGGGACACGUGGUAUCCUGUCUGAAUAUGGGGGGACCAUCCUCCAAGGCUAAAUACUCCUGACUGACCGAUAGUGAACCAGUACCGUGAGGGAAAGGCGAAAAGAACCCCGGCGAGGGGAGUGAAAAAGAACCUGAAACCGUGUACGUACAAGCAGUGGGAGCACCUUCGGGUGUGACUGCGUACCUUUUGUAUAAUGGGUCAGCGACUUAUAUUCUGUAGCAAGGUUAACCGUAUAGGGGAGCCGCAGGGAAACCGAGUCUUAACUGGGCGUUAAGUUGCAGGGUAUAGACCCGAAACCCGGUGAUCUAGCCAUGGGCAGGUUGAAGGUUGGGUAACACUAACUGGAGGACCGAACCGACUAAUGUUGAAAAAUUAGCGGAUGACUUGUGGCUGGGGGUGAAAGGCCAAUCAAACCGGGAGAUAGCUGGUUCUCCCCGAAAGCUAUUUAGGUAGCGCCUCGUGAACUCAUCUUCGGGGGUAGAGCACUGUUUCGGCUAGGGGGUCAUCCCGACUUACCAACCCGAUGCAAACUACGAAUACCGAAGAAUGUUAUCACGGGAGACACACGGCGGGUGCUAACGUCCGUCGUGAAGAGGGAAACAACCCAGACCGCCAGCUAAGGUCCCAAAGUCAUGGUUAAGUGGGAAACGAUGUGGGAAGGCACAGACAGCCAGGAUGUUGGCUUAGAAGCAGCCAUCAUUUAAAGAAAGCGUAAUAGCUCACUGGUCGAGUCGGCCUGCGCGGAAGAUGUAACGGGGCUAAACCAUGCACCGAAGCUGCGGCAGCGACGCUUAUGCGUUGUUGGGUAGGGGAGCGUUCUGUAAGCCUGCGAAGGUGACCUGUGAGGGUUGCUGGAGGUAUCAGAAGUGCGAAUGCUGACAUAAGUAACGAUAAAGCGGGUGAAAAGCCCGCUCGCCGGAAGACCAAGGGUUCCUGUCCAACGUUAAUCGGGGCAGGGUGAGUCGACCCCUAAGGCGAGGCCGAAAGGCGUAGUCGAUGGGAAACAGGUUAAUAUUCCUGUACUUGGUGUUACUGCGAAGGGGGGACGGAGAAGGCUAUGUUAGCCGGGCGACGGUUGUCCCGGUUUAAGCAUGUAGGCUGGUUAUCCAGGCAAAUCCGGAUAAUCAAGGCUGAGGUGUGAUGACGAGGCACUACGGUGCUGAAGUAACAAAUGCCCUGCUUCCAGGAAAAGCCUCUAAGCAUCAGGUAACAUCAAAUCGUACCCCAAACCGACACAGGUGGUCAGGUAGAGAAUACCAAGGCGCUUGAGAGAACUCGGGUGAAGGAACUAGGCAAAAUGGUGCCGUAACUUCGGGAGAAGGCACGCUGGUGUGUAGGUGAAGCCCCUGCGGGUGGAGCUGAGACCAGUCGAAGAUACCAGCUGGCUGCAACUGUUUAUUAAAAACACAGCACUGUGCAAACACGAAAGUGGACGUAUACGGUGUGACGCCUGCCCGGUGCCGGAAGGUUAAUUGAUGGGGUUAUCCGUAAGGAGAAGCUCUUGAUCGAAGCCCCGGUAAACGGCGGCCGUAACUAUAACGGUCCUAAGGUAGCGAAAUUCCUUGUCGGGUAAGUUCCGACCUGCACGAAUGGCGUAAUGAUGGCCAGGCUGUCUCCACCCGAGACUCAGUGAAAUUGAACUCGCUGUGAAGAUGCAGUGUACCCGCGGCAAGACGGAAAGACCCCGUGAACCUUUACUAUAGCUUGACACUGAACAUUGAGCCUUGAUGUGUAGGAUAGGUGGGAGGCUUUGAAGCGUGGACGCCAGUCUGCGUGGAGCCAACCUUGAAAUACCACCCUUUAAUGUUUGAUGUUCUAACGUUGGCCCCUAAUCGGGGUUGCGGACAGUGUCUGGUGGGUAGUUUGACUGGGGCGGUCUCCUCCCAAAGCGUAACGGAGGAGCACGAAGGUUAGCUAAUCCUGGUCGGACAUCAGGAGGUUAGUGCAAUGGCAUAAGCUAGCUUGACUGCGAGCGUGACGGCGCGAGCAGGUGCGAAAGCAGGUCAUAGUGAUCCGGUGGUUCUGAAUGGAAGGGCCAUCGCUCAACGGAUAAAAGGUACUCCGGGGAUAACAGGCUGAUACCGCCCAAGAGUUCAUAUCGACGGCGGUGUUUGGCACCUCGAUGUCGGCUCAUCACAUCCUGGGGCUGAAGUAGGUCCCAAGGGUAUGGCUGUUCGCCAUUUAAAGUGGUACGCGAGCUGGGUUUAGAACGUCGUGAGACAGUUCGGUCCCUAUCUGCCGUGGGCGCUGGAGAAUUGAGGGGGGCUGCUCCUAGUACGAGAGGACCGGAGUGGACGCAUCACUGGUGUUCGGGUUGUCAUGCCAAUGGCACUGCCCGGUAGCUAAAUGCGGAAGAGAUAAGUGCUGAAAGCAUCUAAGCACGAAACUUGCCCCGAGAUGAGUUCUCCCUGAGACU
rnacentral:rRNA from 1 species